AAAAGCCUCGGGAUAUGCCCUAACAUGAUUUCAUGUGAUUAGAGACCUCCAUGUUCUGAAGAACGCCAAAGAGGAGAGACAAAGAAAAGAUGAACUCAGCUGCCCCAGUCUCCAGUGAUCCCAGUUGUGGCCUUGGUAGCUACACCACAGUUGCCAACCUCUCUUGAAGUUCUGU